rnacentral:rRNA from 1 species
CGUUGGAUACUGUGAGGCUAGACGGUCGGAGGGGGUAGCGGAAUUUCCGGAGUAGCGGUGAAAUGCGCAGAUACCGGAAGGAACGCCAAUAGCGAAGGCAGCUACCUGGACGACUUGUGACGCUGAGGCGCGAAAGCGUGGGGAGCAAACCGGAUUAGAUACCCGGGUAGUCCACGCCCUAAACCAUGAGUGCUGGGUGUCCGGCUUCUGCUGGGUGCCGUAGCUAACGCGCUAAGCACUCCGCCUGGGAAGUACGCACGCAAGUGUGAAACUCAAAGGAAUUGACGGGGGCCCGCACAAGCGGUGGAGCAUGUGGUUUAAUUCGAAGCGACGCGAAGAACCUUACCAGGCCUUGACAUGCCCGGAACCCCUCUGAAAGGAGGGGGUGCCCGCAAGGGAGCCGGGACACAGGUGCUGCAUGGCCGUCGUCAGCUCGUGUCGUGAGAUGUUGGGUUAAGUCCCGCAACGAGCGCAACCCCUAUCCCUAGUUGCCAGCAGUUCGGCUGGCACUCUAUGGAGACUGCCUGCGAAAGCAGGAGGAAGGCGGGGAUGACGUCUGGUCCGCAUGGCCCUUACGGCCUGGGCGACACACGUGCUACAAUGCCAAGGACAGAGCGCUGCUACCUCGCGAGAGGACGCCAAUCGCAAAAACCUUGGCUCAGUUCGGAUUGGAGUCUGCA